GCCACACCCACAUGGCAGCCAUUUUCUGAAACACUUUCUCAACACCUCAAAUACGCCUGAUCCAAAAAGCACCCAGGUCCUUGUGCAAGACGGCUGUGCAAAUCCAUUACAUUGAUGGCACUGUGGAUCACCGUAACAGCAGGAGUCAGGUCGGCCCCGUAAUGAGAAUAGGCUUCCAUCGAUUGGCCUGGGGCUCCCUCUUAGACAAUGUCAUUUCAGCAGGCAAGGAUCAUCACCGGAGGGCAGGGAUGCAUUCCAGUGGCAUAAUGGGUGUGAAACAAGACAGAAGAGAUGCCCACAUCCUGGCCUCUGCUACCUGCCCAUUCCGCCAAGGUCGGAAACAGCCUGAAGCCCUGGAACCUGAGCUGGUGCAAUUAAG